rnacentral:misc_RNA from 1 species
GAUGAAGAACGUAGCGAAAUGCGAUAAGUAAUGUGAAUUGCAGAAUUCAGUGAAUCAUCAAAUCUUUGAACGCACCUUGCACCCUUUGGCAUUCCGAAGGGUAUGCUCGUUUGAGUGUCAUUGUACUCUCACACUUCUGAUCCUUUGGAUUGGGAGCGGUGGACUUGGGUGUUGCUGCUUUACUGUGGCUCACCUCAAAUGCAUUCGUGCAACUCUUGGUUGGACAUAGUACGGCGUGAUAAGUAUCUUCGCCGGCACCUCGCAAGAGGGUGGCUGAUCAGGAGCUCUGUGCUUUCCAACUGUCUUCAGACAACAACUGACAACUUGACCUCAAAUCGAGUAGGACCACCCGCUGAACUUAAGCAUAUCAAUAAGCGGAGGA